AUGAACGCUGGCGGCGUGCUUAACCCAUGCCAGUCGAACGCAGCACUUUAACCUGAUUCUUCGGAUGAAGGUUUUUGUGACUGAGUGGCGGACGGGUGAGUAACGCGUGGGUAACCUGCCUCAUACAGGGGGAUAACAGUUAGAAAUGACUGCUAAUACCGCAUAAGACCACAGAGCCGCAUGGCUCGGUGGGAAAAACUCCGGUGGUAUGAGAUGGACCCGCGUCUGAUUAGGUAGUUGGUGGGGUAACGGCCUACCAAGCCAACGAUCAGUAGCCGACCUGAGAGGGUGACCGGCCACAUUGGGACUGAGACACGGCCCAAACUCCUACGGGAGGCAGCAGUGGGGAAUAUUGCACAAUGGGGGAAACCCUGAUGCAGCGACGCCGCGUGAGCGAAGAAGUAUUUCGGUAUGUAAAGCUCUAUCAGCAGGGAAGAAAAUGACGGUACCUGACGAAGAAGCACCGGCUAAAUACGUG
rnacentral:rRNA from 1 species